rnacentral:SRP_RNA from 1 species
CCGUGCUAGAUGGGGAGCUAGCGGUGCCCUGUCACCUACAAUCCGCUACAGUAGGGUCGAAUUCCUUGCCGAGGCCGGACUUUUUCUGUUUAGUGUCCGUGUAAGUGGUGAUGACGGUACGGGUCCUGCGCAAAGAAUGCUCUGUAAACCCCGUCAGGACCGGAAGGUAGCAGCGGUAGCAGGGUCGUCUCUUGUGCUGCAGGUUUGCCUUGCCUGAGCUAACUGCACAGAUAACGCAGGGGGAGGACUGUCAGAGCCGGGUGCACGG